rnacentral:rRNA from 1 species
AUUGAACGCUGGCGGCAGGCUUAACACAUGCAAGUCGAGCGGAGAUGAGGUGCUUGCACCUUAUCUUAGCGGCGGACGGGUGAGUAAUGCUUAGGAAUCUGCCUAUUAGUGGGGGACAACAUUCCGAAAGGAAUGCCAAUACCGCAUACGCCCUACGGGGGAAAGCAGGGGAUCUUCGGACCUUGCGCUAAUAGAUGAGCCUACGUCGGAUUAGCUAGUUGGUGGGGUAAAGGCCUACCAAGGCGACGAUCUGUAGCGGGUCUGAGAGGAUGAUCCGCCACACUGGGACUGAGACACGGCCCAGACUCCUACGGGAGGCAGCAGUGGGGAAUAUUGGACAAUGGGCGGAAGCCUGAUCCAGCCAUGCCGCGUGUGUGAAGAAGGCCUUUUGGUUGUAAAGCACUUUAAGCGAGGAGGAGGCUACCUGGAUUAAUACUCUAGGAUAGUGGACGUUACUCGCAGAAUAAGCACCGGCUAACUCUGUGCCAGCCGCCGCCGUAAUAC